ACAUCCAGCGAACUUGGCAGAGAUGCCUUGGUGCCUUCGGGAACGCUGAGACAGGUGCUGCAUGGCUGUCGUCAGCUCGUGUUGUGAAAUGUUGGGUUAAGUCCCGCAACGAGCGCAACCCUUAUCCUUUGUUGCCAGCGAUUCGGUCGGGAACUCAAAGGAGACUGCCGGUGAUAAACCGGAGGAAGGUGGGGAUGACGUCAAGUCAUCAUGGCCCUUACGAGUAGGGCUACACACGUGCUACAAUGGCGCAUACAAAGAGAAGCGACCUCGCGAGAGCAAGCGAACCUCAUAAAGUGCGUCGUAGUCCGGAUCGGAGUCUGCAACUCGACUCCGUGAAGUCGGAAUCGCUAGUAAUCGUGGAUCAGAAUGCCACGGUGAAUACGUUCCCGGGCCUUGUACACACCGCCCGUCACACCAUGGGAGUGGGUUGCAAAAGAAGUAGGUAGCUUAACCUCCGGGAGGGCGCUUACCACUUUGUGAUUCAUGACUGGGGUGAAGUCGUAACAAGGUAGGCGUAGCGAG
rnacentral:rRNA from 1 species